rnacentral:rRNA from 1 species
GAUCCUGGCUCAGGAUGAACGCUAGCUACAGGCUUAACACAUGCAAGUCGAGGGGCAGCAUGGUCUUAGCUUGCUAAGGUCGAUGGCGACCGGCGCACGGGUGAGUAACACGUAUCCAACCUGCCGUCUACUCUCGGACAGCCUUCUGAAAGGAAGAUUGAUACAAGAUGGCAUCGUGAGUUCACAUGUUCACAUGAUUAAAGGUAUUCCGGUAGACGAUGGGG